rnacentral:rRNA from 1 species
GAUGAACGCUGGCGGCGUGCCUAAUACAUGCAAGUCGAGCGAACAGACGAGGAGCUUGCUCCUCUGACGUUAGCGGCGGACGGGUGAGUAACACGUGGAUAACCUACCUAUAAGACUGGGAUAACUUCGGGAAACCGGAGCUAAUACCGGAUAAUAUAUUGAACCGCAUGGUUCAAUAGUGAAAGACGGUUUUGCUGUCACUUAUAGAUGGAUCCGCGCCGCAUUAGCUAGUUGGUAAGGUAACAGCUUACCAAGGCAACGAUGCGUAGCCGACCUGAGAGGGUGAUCGGCCACACUGGAACUGAGACACGGUCAAGACUCCUACGGGAGGCAGCAGUAGGGAAUCUUCCGCAAUGGGCGAAAGCCUGACGGAGCAACGCCGCGUGAGUGAUGAAGGUCUUCGGAUCGUAAAACUCUGUUAUUAGGGAAGAACAAAUGUGUAAGUAACUAUGCACGUCUUGACGGUACCUAAUCAGAAAGCCACGGCUAACUACGUG